UUACGACUUGAACCAAACUACUGUAGCUGUAUCGUCAUUCAUUCGACCUAAAUUGUGUCUCAUAUUACAAUGGACCAACUUUGUUUCGAUUUGGAGGUGCGGCCUAAAACUUUUCUCUCCCCUCAAAUUUCGAGUCUCAAAUUUCAGGGAAAAUUUUUUUCCUCGAUUUCGAGUCUCAUUUUUCAGGUGCGGCUUAGAUUCAAGUGCGGCUUAGAUUCAAGUAAAUACGGUACCCAUUUUUCUUAAAAACCAACUGUAGAUGGGGGCAAAACAUUAGCAAACAGUUUGAUACAUCAACAGUGACCCUAAACUCAGAAGUUUUAACUGAAAUAAACACUGGCUGUGAAAGCCUUCAUUGGUUUGUUGUCCUGUGUUAUGGAAUUAUUUUCUGGAGCAAUGCAUCUAAAGUAAAUAAUUUAUUCAGCAGAAGCAAGCAUACAGAACAUUGCAUAGCAGGUCCACAUCCAAGAAGAUUCUCCUUGAUGGGCUCUAUGGAACACAAUGAAUGAAUGGAUGAAAAAUGAAAAUCUGAUGGCAAAGUGAUUUAAUUCAAUUACUUUUGUGAGACAGGUGGGGUAAGGAAUUGG